rnacentral:rRNA from 1 species
AGAGUUUGAUCCUGGCUCAGAGCGAACGCUGGCGGCAGGCCUAACACAUGCAAGUCGAGCGCCCCGCAAGGGGAGCGGCAGACGGGAGAGUAACACGUGGGAACGUACCCUUCAGUUCGGAACAACCCAGGGAAACUUGGGCUAAUACCGAAUACGUCCGUAAGGAGAAAGAUUUAUCGCUGAAGGAUCGGCCCGCGUCUGAUUAGCUUGUUGGUGAGGUAACGGCUCACCAAGGCGACGAUCAGUAGCUGGUCUGAGAGGAUGAUCAGCCUCACUGGGACUGAGACACGGCCCAGACUCCUACGGGAGGCAGCAGUGGGGAAUAUUGGACAAUGGGCGCAAGCCUGAUCCAGCCAUGCCGCGUGGGUGAUGAAGGCCCUAGGGUUGUAAAGCCCUUUCGGCGGGGAAGAUAAUGACGGUACCCGCAGAAGAAGCCCUGGCUAACUUCGUGCCAGCAGCCGCGGUAAU